rnacentral:tRNA from 1 species
CCCUGGGUGGCUCAGUCGGUUGAGCGUCUGACUACGGCUCAGGUCAUGAUCUCACAGUCUGUGGGUUCGAGCCCCACAUCGGGCU